GACGACAUCAGCUACGGGACAACCACGCCCGGACUUCUACGGAAGCCGGACUUUGCCUAGGACUUUGGUUGCAGGAAAACGAAAGCUUUACCCUGGCCCCUACGAGAACCAAGCUACUACAACUUCAGGAGGACUUCUCCGCUCGGACUCCCAAGGGAGCCAGACUCAGCUCCGACUUCAACAGAGAAGAAACCCAAGCAAAAAGGAAAGCAAACAGUGCCCGAAGGCAACGGAAGCCUGGACCCCCAAAUUCAAGCCCUAGGGAGGACUUCGGGCCCGAAGGGCCCCAAGCGAGCCCGCAGCCGUCAAUGGAAUCGCAAUUGGGUAUCUUCGAACGGCGUAAGAACUGAAAAAGUAGCUCGACAAAUGAUAACCCCACUGAAGAGGCCGCCGACGACCUUGGGACGAUGUGACACAGACGAAGAGAAGGAAAGAAAAAUGAAGAAGUUCGACAGACAACUAUUUAACGUGAGAUGCAGACGAGGUACCAAAAUCUCUUUUUCAUUUAACAAAAGUAUACGUUACAGGACCCGGUGGGUCAGAAAAAAGA
rnacentral:lncRNA from 1 species